rnacentral:rRNA from 1 species
AACGAACGCUGGCGGCAGGCUUAACACAUGCAAGUCGAGCGCCCCGCAAGGGGAGCGGCAGACGGGUGAGUAACGCGUGGGAACGUACCCUUUACUACGGAAUAACUCAGGGAAACUUGUGCUAAUACCGUAUGUGCCCUUUGGGGGAAAGAUUUAUCGGUAAAGGAUCGGCCCGCGUUGGAUUAGCUAGUUGGUGGGGUAAAGGCCUACCAAGGCGACGAUCCAUAGCUGGUCUGAGAGGAUGAUCAGCCACAUUGGGACUGAGACACGGCCCAAACUCCUACGGGAGGCAGCAGUGGGGAAUAUUGGACAAUGGGCCCAAGCCUGAUCCAGCCAUGCCGCGUGAGUGAUGAAGGCCUUAGGGUUGUAAAGCUCUUUCACCGGUGAAGAUAAUGACGGUAACCGGAGAAGAAGCCCCGGCUAACUUCGUGCCAGCCGCCGCGGUAACAC